CCUUUGAUGAUGUGUAAGUCGCUCUGGAUAAGAGCGUCUGCUAAAUGACGUAAA
rfam:Salmo salar isolate Sally breed double haploid chromosome ssa03, whole genome shotgun sequence.